rnacentral:misc_RNA from 1 species
CGGCUCCCCUUUGCCAGACAUGAAACCGAACGCAGGACUAACAAACAGACCUAAACCUUUUGAAAUUAAACUCGUCAAACGCUGUUGAUUCUGAGAUGGUAUUUGCAGAUGAUUUUUUUUCCGGUGAAAGGUUGAAAGACUACAUCCAAUGACGAGUGCUUUUGAUCUUAACGAUACAGAGAUGGUUUGACACAUCUUUCCCCCCAGAAAUCCAAAUGGACCUGUAUUUUGGUUUAUUCUCCGUUACUUGACUUACGAAGGGCAGCAUUUAUAUUUAUUUAUUCUUUGUAUGUACAUGUUGAAGGAUUGAUUACCUAUGUUGAUAUUUAUUGCGUUCCGUUGUCAAUGUCUUUUAUUUAUUAACUGUACUCUGUUGUAUUAUAUAUAUUGAAAUUUACCUUUAUCUUUGUACAGCUUGCAUUAAUAUUUUCUGAGAUAAACAAUGUUUUAACGGCAAUUUGUUUUAAAAAAAAGAAAGUCACAUUAUUUAUUCGCAAUAUUUGCAAUGAUAUAUAUUAAACUCUAUAUUUGAUUUAAUGUUAUGUCUGUGUUUUGACCAAAGAUGGUUGCACAUGAAAUUAAUUUAUUAAUGCCAGAAGCUUUUUUAUCCAUUUUCGUCCAUAGUAUUAAUUCUAUUCAUUCAUUCAAUGCAUGUCAAAUUCAGAUGUUAUUUAUUGUUGUUAAAUAUAUUUGAAUAAAAAAAUAUUGUACGAAACAU